GACGAACGCUGGCGGCGUGCUUAACACAUGCAAGUCGAACGGAAAGGCCCUUCUUUUUUGGGGUGCUCGAGUGGCGAACGGGUGAUUAACACGUGAGUAACCUGCCCUUGACUUUGGGAUAACUUCAGGAUACUUGGGCUAAUACCGGAUAUGAGCUCCUGCUGCAUGGUGGGGGUUGGAAAGUUGCGGCGGUUGGGGGUGGACUCGCGGCUUAUCAGCUUGUUGGUGGGGUAGUGGCUUACCACGGCUUUGACGGGUAGCCGGCAUGAGAGGGUGACCAGGGCCAUGGCGACUGAGAGAGGGCGCAGAGUCGAACGGGAGGCAGCAGGGGGGAGUAUGGCACAGUGGGCGGAAGCGUAAUGUAAAGACGCUGCGGGCGGGAUGACGGCCUUUGGGGUGUAAACCGCUUUCGCCUGUGACGAAGCGGGAGUGACGGUAAUGGAUAAAGAAGCACCGGCUAACUACGUG
rnacentral:rRNA from 1 species